AGGUGAUGCUGUUUCAGAGGCUGGAAGAUCAAGAGCUGCUGUAAUUAGGAGGCUUAUGUGAAACCUUUACACCUCUGGUAAAAAGUUUAGCUACCCAGAGUCUGUUGGCUUCGGCUGUGUUUCCCGUGCCAUCAUCCAUCGCACCAUUGAAACUUAAAUGAACCCUAUGACAGG